GGGGGAAAAGAAACCGCAGAGUCUCUGUGAGAGAAACAUGGUACCUUGUACAUGUUUAUGAUGUCAUCAUCUGCUGCCGCUGGGCGGGUGCUUUGUCCCGAUCCCGGCGUCCGGCGUGGUUUCACUGUUUUAGUUCACUUGCUAUAAAGUACUUGCAAGCAAGGCCUAUGUACAACUCUAUCUCUUUUGAGUACUUGCAACCAAAGGCCUUUGUGCAGUCUCCACCUGUAUACGUUGGAGUAAUGUAUCACCAGCCAAAUCCACCUGUCUGUCUCUGAAAAGGAACAAGGGGAGGAUGAGCUGGCAGAACAGUAAGAAAGAGCAAGAUUUAAUGGAGUGUGGAAAAGACUUAUAGAGAACUGUUCAGGAAAAUAUUUGUUUGUGCUAUUGGAAGACUGGCAAACACACUCUUGACUAAGGAUUUCCCGUGCAUUCCUGAAGAUCUGGCAUGCUGUUUUCUGCAUAGCUUUAGUAGUUCAGGAGGUGCCACUUUCUCUUUAAAGAAAAAAUAAAUUCAGAAA